rnacentral:rRNA from 1 species
AAAAGAAUUGACGGAAGGGCACCACCAGGCGUGGAGCUUGCGGCUUAAUUUGACUCAACACGGGGAAACUCACUAGUUUAAGACAAGAGUAGGAUUGACAGAUUAAUAGCUCUUUCUUGAUUUCUUGGAUGGUGAUGCAUGGCCGUUUUUAGUUCGUGAAUAUGAUUUGUCUGGUUAAUUCCGAUAACGAACGAGAUCUUAACCUGCUAAUUAGCGGUGGAUAUGUGAUAUUCUUCGAAGGUGGACUAACUAUAGCGUUUUCGAAGGUAUGUUGCAUAAUCAAAUUGGUUUACCCUUUGUUUUUUUGUAGCAUAUUCUUUUAUUUCGUUGGGUUUUUUCCCUAGUAAGGAUGUAUCUGCUUUAUUUAAUGCUUCUUAGAGGAACGAUGUGUGUCUAACACAAGGAAGUUUAAGGCAACAACAGGUCUGUGAUGUCCUUAGAUAUACUAGGCUGCACGCGUGCUACACUGAUAUGUAAAACGAGUAUUUAAAAUUAUAUCUGUAUGGUAGAUAAUUUAAUUUCUACGUAUUAUCAGCAUAUACUUUUCCUACACUGAAAUAGUGAAGGUAAUCUUUAUCAAUACAUAUCGUGAUGGGGAUAGAUUAUUGCAAUUAUUAAUCUUGAACGAGGAAUGCCUAGUAAGCAUGAUUCAUCAGAUUGUGCUGACUACGUCCCUGCCCUUUGUACACACCGCCCGUCGCUCCUACCGAUUGAAAGAUAUGAUGAAUUGUUUGGACAAGAAAAUAGAAAUUUUAUUUUUAUUUUUUUUGGAAGGACCGUAAAUCCUAUCUUUUAAAGGAAGGAGAAGUCGUAACAAGGUUUCCGUAGGUGAACCUGCGGAAG